GUCCCUGUCGCGCAAUGGGGAGCGCGUUGAACGUCUAAUCCAAAGGUCGUGGGUGUGAAUCCCUCCUGGAAUG